CCUACGGGUUGCACCAGUGGGGAAUUUUGGACAAUGGGGACAACCCUGAUCCAGCCAUGCCGCGUGUGUGAAGAAGGCCUUCGGGUUGUAAAGCACUUUCGAACGGAACGAAAUCGCGCGGGUGAAUAUCCCGCGUGGAUGACGGUACCGUAAGAAGAAGCACCGGCUAACUACGUGCCAGCAGCCGCGGUAAUACGUAGGGUGCGAGCGUUAAUCGGAAUUACUGGGCGUAAAGUGUGCGCAGGCGGCGUUGCAAGUCGAGUGUGAAAGCCCCGGGCUUAACUUGGGAAUUGCGCUCGAAACUACGAUGCUGGAGUAUGGCAGAGGAAGGUGGAAUUCCACGUGUAGCGGUGAAAUGCGUAGAGAUGUGGAGGAACACCGAUGGCGAAGGCAGCCUUCUGGGCCAAUACUGACGCUCAUGCACGAAAGCGUGGGGAGCAAACAGGAUUAGAUACCCGGGUA
rnacentral:rRNA from 1 species